rnacentral:tRNA from 1 species
UCUCUGGUAGUAUAUCGGUUAGUACACGCGCCUGUCAUUGAGCGGAAUGUAAUAAUAACCGCGCGAAAGCUGGGUUCGACUCCCAGCCAGAGAG